AGAGUUUGAUCAUGGCUCAGGAUGAACGCUGGCGGCGUGCCUAACACAUGCAAGUCGAGCGAUCUUCUUCGGAAGAGAGCGGCGGACGGGUGAGUAACGCGUGGGUAACCUGCCUCAUACACAUGGAUAACAUACCGAAAGGUAUGCUAAUACAAGAUGAUAUAAGAGAUUCGCAUGGAUUUCUUAUCAAAGCUCCGGCGGUAUGAGAUGGACCCGCGUCUGAUUAGCUAGUUGGCAAGGUAACGGCUUACCAAGGCGACGAUCAGUAGCCGACCUGAGAGGGUGAUCGGCCACAUUGGAACUGAGACACGGUCCAAACUCCUACGGGAGGCAGCAGUGGGGAAUAUUGCACAAUGGGCGAAAGCCUGAUGCAGCAACGCCGCGUGAGCGAUGAAGGCCUUCGGGUCGUAAAGCUCUGUCCUCAAGGAAGAUAAUGACGGUACUUGAGGAGGAAGCCCCGGCUAACUACGUGCCAGCAGCCGCGGUAAUACGUAGGGGGCUAGCGUUAUCCGGAUUUACUGGGCGUAAAGGGUGCGUAGGUGGUUUCUUAAGUCAGGAGUGAAAGGCUACGGCUCAACCGUAGUAAGCUUUUGAAACUGGGAAACUUGAGUGCAGGAGAGGAAAGUGGAAUUCCUAGUGUAGCGGUGAAAUGCGUAGAUAUUAGGAGGAACACCAGUAGCGAAGGCGGCUUUCUGGACUGUAACUGACACUGAGGCACGAAAGCGUGGGGAGCAAACAGGAUUAGAUACCCUGGUAGUCCACGCCGUAACGAUGAGUACUAGGUGUCGGGGGUUACCCCCCUCGGUGCCGCAGCUAACGCAUUAAGUACUCCGCCUGGGGAGUACGCUCGCAAGAGUGAAACUCAAAGGAAUUGACGG
rnacentral:rRNA from 1 species